GACGAACGCUGGCGGCGUGCUUAACACAUGCAAGUCGAACGGAAAGGCCCUGCUUUUGUGGGGUGCUCGAGUGGCGAACGGGUGAGUAACACGUGAGUAACCUGCCCUUGACUUUGGGAUAACUUCAGGAAACUGGGGCUAAUACCGGAUAGAAGCUCCUGCUGCAUGGUGGGGGUUGGAAAGUUUUGGCGGUUGGGGAUGGACUCGCGGCUUAUCAGCUUGUUGGUGGGGUAGUGGCUUACCAAGGCUUUGACGGGUAGCCGGCCUGAGAGGGUGACCGGCCACAUUGGGACUGAGAUACGGCCCAGACUCCUACGGGAGGCAGCAGUGGGGAAUAUUGCACAAUGGGCGGAAGCCUGAUGCAGCAACGCCGCGUGCGGGAUGACGGCCUUCGGGUUGUAAACCGCUUUCGCCUGUGACGAAGCGUGAGUGACGGUAAUGGGUAAAGAAGCACCGGCUAACUACGUG
rnacentral:rRNA from 1 species